rnacentral:tRNA from 1 species
GCCUCUGUAGCUCAAUGGACGAGCAGUUCCGUCCUAAGGAAAGGGUUGGGGGUUCGAGUCCCUCCAGGGGCA